GAUGAACGCUGGCGGCGUGCCUAAUACAUGCAAGUCGAGCGAACAGACAAGGAGCUUUCUCCUCUGACGUUAGCGGCGGACGGGUGAGUAACACGUAGAUAACCUACCUAUAAGACUGGGAUAACUUCGGGAAAACGGAUCUAAUACCGGAGAAUAUAUUCAACCGCAUGAAUCAAUAGAUAAUGACGGUUUUGCUGUCACUUUUAGAUGAUUCCGCGCCGCAUUAGCUAGUUGGUAAGGUAACGGCUUACCAAGGCAACGAUCCGUAGCCGACCUGAUAGGGUGAUCAGCCACACUGGAACUGAGACACGGUCCAGACUCCUACGGGAGGCAGCAGUGGGGAAUCUUCCGCAAUGGGCGAAAGCCUGACGGAGCAACGCCGCGUGAGUGAUGAAGGCCUUCGGAUCGUAAAACUCUUUUAUUAGGGAAGAAAAAAUGUGUAAGAAACUAUGCCCGUCUUGACGGUACCUAAACAGAAAGCCACGGCUAACUACGUG
rnacentral:rRNA from 1 species